rnacentral:lncRNA from 1 species
GGUUGUUGAAUUAAUGAAUUGUCUGCCACAACUAAGGGAUUCUUAGAGUGAUCUUCUUCUACUUUGAUCUUGCAUGGGUAUCGCCAAACUCUUUUUCGGCAUUAGAACUAUCAAGCUAAUCAUAUGGAGAAAGAAAAUAUUUAUUUAAAUAAAGAGUUACGAAGGAUGGUUGAAGACAUCAUAGUUGGUGCAUGUCCUUUCUUUGGGGACCAUCAAUGAUGGAUGGCUUAUUUACCUAUUGGAGUUGGGGGAUUGGGUUUUUA